CAAAGCACCUUUUUACAGUGCAAUGAGUGUUUGCAAAACGGCUGGUGGAAAACUGGUUGAAAUUGACAAUUAUUGGGAGUUUCGGACACUAUCGCGAAUGGCAAGGAAUAGAAGGUUCCCGGAAUUUUGGCUUGGCAUAACAGACAUGUACUCGGAAGGCACUUGGCAAAAAGCUACAUCACAGAGGAGACAGUCUUAUUUCAACUGGAUUUCGGGAGAACCCAAUUCUCAUGGUGGACAAGAAAACUGUGUGUGAUGGUGUAUACUAGACAUAACAUGAAAUGGAAUGAUGCACAGUGUAUCGCCCACUUCCCAUUUGUUUGCGAAAAGUGAAAAGGCCAGACUAUAAAUUCCUUCCUUUUAUAAAAUUCUUUCUGAAUUAAUACUAUAAAUUCCUUCUUUUUAGAAAAUUCAUUCUGAAUUAAUAAACUUUGCAUACUGUUA